rnacentral:rRNA from 1 species
GUGGGGAAUAUUGGACAAUGGGCGAAAGCCUGAUCCAGCCAUGCCGCGUGUGUGAAGAAGGUCUUCGGAUUGUAAAGCACUUUAAGUUGGGAGGAAGGGCAGUAAGUUAAUACCUUGCUGUUUUGACGUUACCGACAGAAUAAGCACCGGCUAACUUCGUGCCAGCAGCCGCGGUAAUACGAAGGGUGCAAGCGUUGAUCGGAAUUACUGGGCGUAAAGCGCGCGUAGGUGGUUUUGUAAGUUGGAGGUGAAAUCCCCGGGCUCAACCUGGGAACUGCCUCCAAAACUGCAUGACUAGAGUACGGUAGAGGGUAGUGGAAUUUCCUGUGUAGCGGUGAAAUGCGUAGAUAUAGGAAGGAACACCAGUGGCGAAGGCGACUACCUGGACUGAUACUGACACUGAGGUGCGAAAGCGUGGGGAGCAAACAGGAUUAGAAACCCUGGUAGUCC